rfam:Gossypium hirsutum cultivar TM-1 unplaced genomic scaffold scaffold445.1, whole genome shotgun sequence
UGUUAAAAAUUUCAUUCAUUUCUAUUGUUAAAAGCUGGUGUGGCUGGCAAAAUAACCAGAUAGUUACAUACGGCAUGCCACGUGUACUUCAUGCAGAGGUAUAAGACCAAUUUUUAACAGUAAAAGUGGAUGAUUUUUUUUAUU